GUGAGGAAUAUUGGUCAAUGGGCGCUAGCCUGAACCAGCCAAGUAGCGUGAAGGAUGAAGGCUCUAUGGGUCGUAAACUUCUUUUAUAUAAGAAUAAAGUGCAGUAUGUAUACUGUUUUGUAUGUAUUAUAUGAAUAAGGAUCGGCUAACUCCGUGCCAGCAGCCGCGGCAAUACGGAGGAUCCGAGCGUUAUCCGGAUUUAUUGGGUUUAAAGGGAGCGUAGGUGGACUGGUAAGUCAGUUGUGAAAGUUUGCGGCUCAACCGUAAAAUUGCAGUUGAUACUGUCAGUCUUGAGUACAGUAGAGGUGGGCGGAAUUCGUGGUGUAGCUGUGAAAUGCUUAGAUAUCACGAAGAACUCCGAUUGCGAAGGCAGCUCACUGGACUGCAACUGACACUGAUGCUCGAAAGUGUGGGUAUCAAACAGGAUUAGAUACCCUGGUAGUCC
rnacentral:rRNA from 1 species